GGGGCAGUGGGAUGGAGGUGGGAUGGAGUGAUAGCAGGGGACUACAUAACAGAUCUGGGGUCCGUCUCUACAAAGCGCAGCUCGACAACCACCGUGGUAACCAGGGAGACACACUUUACGGGAAAGGCUUCACUGAUUCGCUUCAUUUGGUUAGAUAGUGAUUGAACCUUCGGAAUAACUUCAUGCAAAAUAAGGGUCUGGAUCCUUUCUGUAGUCAGAGGCUUUCUAGGGAUAGUCACGCAAGACUCAGAUAUAGUACACAAGACUCUUGUUUUAGUACACAAGACUCAGUUAUAGUACACAAGAAUCUUGUUAUAGUACACAAGACUCAGAUAUAGUACACAAGACUCAGUUUUAGUACACAAGACUCAGUUAUAGUACACAAGACUCUUGUUUUAGUACACAAGACUCAGUUAUAGUACACAAGCCUCUUGUUUUAGUACACAAGACUCAGUUAUAGUACACAACACAAGACUGUUGUUAUAGUACACAAGACUCUUGUUUUAGUAUACAACACAAGACUCAGUUAUAGUACACAAGACUCAGUUAUAGUACACAAGACUCUUGUUAUAGUACACAAGACUCAGUUAUAGUACACAAGACUCUUGUUUUAGUAUACACAAGACUCAGAUAUAGUACACAAGACUCAGUUAUAGUACACAAGACUCUUUUUUUAGUAUACAACACAAGACUCAGAUAUAGUACACAAGACUCAGUUAUAGUACACAAGACUGUUGUUAUAGUACACAACACAAGACUCAGUUAUAGUACACAACACAAGAGUUUUAGUACACAAGACUCAGAUAUAGUACACAAGACGUCUCAGUUAUAGUACACAAGACUCAGUACACAUUGUUAUCGUUUGUCUAUAGCGCUAAGUACUGUGUAACAAUCAGUGUUGCUACUGGUGUAAAACACCAAUUUGAUACUCUGUUCUCACAUAGCCCUAAGCCUUACUCAAUUUAACCCCAAUCCCUUCUCUAACCUUGACCCUAGGUUUAUAUAAACACUAUCAGUGUCCUCUCCUCCUUCUCAUUGAGUGACAUUGACAUGGUCACACUGUAAUAAUGGCAAAUACUAUGCUAUGGUGAAAAGUGUAUUACCUACUGUAUUUUGACGUUUAAUUUUUGACAGUUUCAAACAGUACAUUGUUUGUGUUCACUCCAUGUGGCACACAGACUGAGUGGAAAGUGCAUGUUUGAUCAUUAAAAGGCACUAUGGGUAAAAUUAGCUGUUUCAGUACACUGGGCGAAUCAAAAGCCUGAAAGAAAUGUUACACUCUGAACCCAGAAGAACCUACGUAUGAGGCAAUCAUGUAACACCGCCGCUAUGAAUAUGCCAGCAUGCUCUGUGAUUGAGAUGUGAGUUUGGGACAGUAAAGUAUUUUAUAUCAUUGAAAACCUCACAGUAUGGCUACUGCACUUUUCGCGUAUCAUAUUUAAGUACUACAUCAAAUAUUUGUAAUGUUUUGUGUGUGUGUGAGUGUAUGGUGUGUGCAAGUGUGUAUGAGUGUAUAGUGUGUGUGAGUGUAAGAAGAAGAGGGAGAAGUAGGAGAGGGAGAAGAGGGAGAGAAUCAGGAGGAGAGAGAGAGAGAGAAAAAAGACCAUGGCAAAAUGCAUUGUGGGUAUUAUUUAGAGCCAUUGACAGCUGCUA
ensembl:lncRNA